GAGUCUUAAAUUCUCGGCACGUGAAGUUUUGCAAUUUUUCAGAAAAUUUAACAAAAUUAUUUAAAAACUUCCGUUCAUUGGUGUCAAUCUGCUCGGUUAGAUUCGUUGGUUACUUUUGGUAAAUAGGUAACUUUGAGCAAGAAAAAAUGCCCGUAGGAAAGCCGUCGUCUGUGGGGUCGAAGUUGAAGGAUACGCUCAGCACUGUGACAUCAGUCGCUCAAUUUACUUUUCACUACGGCUACGUCCCUUUCCUCAUCUACCUCGGGUUUCGUCGUGGUCAUGAGCCGGGUCAGCCACCCCUCACACUUCUCAAUUUGCUGUGGGCGUGAGAUAAGCCAUCAACUUCUAAACAGAAAUCAUUUCACUGAUCAGAUCAUGUGGGCGACUUGUCAGCCCUCCGAAGAAGUCACCUCCAAUCUGCCACAAUUCUUCAACUUCCACUGUUCCUCAGUCAUAGUAUGUCAAGAAAUUCUUUUGUAACAACAGUCUUUGCUGCUCGAUUAAUAAAACAAAUCACAGUCACUA